UGCACAUUUUGACUAAAAGCCACUUCUUCCACAAAAUGAUCAGAUGGUGUGAAGGUUUGCCCUCCAACAACAUCCUGUGAAACUGUUAUUUUUGUUAUUCUCUGCCUCAGAUGCUUCAAUCACCCAACCAGGAAGGAGAAAAUAAAAAUGCAUGAUGUGAUUUUGAUGACUUACUAUACAUUACACAGGCAGAGUGGAGAAGCAAGGCAGUCCGGUUCAUCCGUACUUCUUCUCUGGCGUGAUGUGUCUCAGCCAUGUGGCUCGGAGGCAGAAGGCCAUGCACGAAUCAGCGUAUCAGCGCCCUUCUCAGCGCAGUGCCUUCCUGGCCAAACUCCAAAAGAAAAACCCUCCUGGCUUCAAGCUCUUCCACAAAGCAGCUGCUUCUGCCAUCGGAGGGGACGACAGAGGUUAGGGACGGGGAAAAUUUUACUUCGGCCGGACGAGGAGAGCCAGUGACUGUUAUUUUACAUUUUCGAGCCUGGGACCCCAUGUCACUUGUCCCAGACUCCCUAACGAGUUAAGAAAUGGUUGAGGUUGCUGGAGGAUGAGGGGAAGGCACUCUGCACAUGGCCAGAAACAAGUUGCUUUCUAAGGUUUUUCCUAUCAUCCAGGAUUCAAGUUCUGUGACUGGAGGAAAGCAGAUUCCAGAAGCAGGGCUGAUAUUUACCCCCCACCCCACCAGCGCAUACACAGAAUUCUGUGGACCAAGCUCAAUGAUUAGUCCAAGCACCCACUACAAUCCACAGCAUCCCCUUUGAUUUCAAAGCAAGCGAGCGAACGAGAUCUUUGGAGCAGUAGCCCCAAUACUGCGUCAUAGCUGUCCGCGGGCAGCUCAGGCAUCCUAACAUCCUUCCUCCUCCAGUUUCCUUCCUCGUCCUCAUCUUGCGCCGUAUCGCUUCGGAUCGUUUCUCCUCUAGAGGGCGCGCCGGAGCUGGCGCCCUGGUCGCGGUUUACAAGCUCCAUAAAAGGGCAAGAGGCGGCCCUUUCCCUCGCUUUCCUGCAGCAGUUGGAUUGGAAGGCGGCGGGGCAUAUAAAUCCGAGCAGGGCGGAGUGAACAAAGCAGUUCGCAUUCGCAAAGAAGACGGAGCGGGCCGGUGAAGGGGGAAGAGGUGGACUGUUUUGGGGGAGGGUGAGGGGAAAAGAAAGGACUCCUCGAGCUGUCGGCUACGAUCCGUGCGGUUUCGACUCGUUACUCGAGGACGACUUUUUUCUUUUCUUUUCUUUUAUUUCUUCCUUGCUCUUAUUUCCCCAUCCUUUCAAAAAGAAACUCCAAGAAUUUUAAAAAUUGGUAAUUUUUUUUAUUGGAGACGAGAAA
rnacentral:lncRNA from 1 species